CGGCACGGGUGAGUAACACGUAUCCAACCUGCCGUCUACUCUUGGACAGCCUUCUGAAAGGAAGAUUAAUACAAGAUGGCAUCAUGAGUCCGCAUGUUCACAUGAUUAAAGGUAUUCCGGUAGACGAUAGGGAUGCGUUCCAUUAGAUAGUAGGCGGGGUAACGGCCCACCUAGUCUUCGAUGGAUAGGGGUUCUGAGAGGAAGGUCCCCCACAUUGGAACUGAGACACGGUCCAA
rnacentral:rRNA from 1 species